rnacentral:other from 2 species
UAGUCCCUGCCGUGUUCGUGACUUGGCCAUACAUUCCUUGAACCAAUGCUUAUGGCAUGCAGGUUGCUGGAUUGACAAGUAGGCGUGCUCUCCAUUUAUGGCGAACCCGAAGCUUGACUGAAGGCGACCACCUUGAACCCUCGGUUCCAGGAUGCCGGCCUAGACGGCACAGGCGGGGCAAUU